rnacentral:rRNA from 1 species
UGCCACUCUUAACGGGGUGGCUUUUCAGAAGUGUAAAAAGCUUUUGGAAUAAGGGCUGGGCAAGACCGGUGCCAGCCACCGCGGUAACACCGGCAGCUCAAGUGGUAGCCGCUUUUAUUGGGCCUAAAGCGUCCGUAGCCGGUCUGAUAAGUCUCUGGUGAAAUCCCACAGCUUAACUGUGGGAAUUGCUGGAGAUACUAUCAUGACUCGAGGUCGGGAGAGGCUGGAGGUACUCCCAGGGUAGGGGUGAAAUCCUGUAAUCCUGGGAGGACCACCUGUGGCGAAGGCGUCCAGCUGGAACGAACCUGACGGUGAGGGACGAAAGCCAGGGGCGCGAACCGGAUUAGAUACCCGGGUAGUCCUGGCCGUAAACGAUGUGGACUUGGUGUUGAGAUGGCUUCGAGCUGCCCCAGUGCCGAAGGGAAGCUGUUAAGUCCACCGCCUGGGAAGUACGGCCGCA